CGAGCCGGGACCCGAGUCCUCCGGUAUCCCAGCAGCCACCGGAGGCAGUGAGGAAUCCACUGAAGACCUACAUUUCCCGGAAGGUUAACAGCCCCCUUCUCAGUUUUCCUGAUGCUACAUGAACUCAAGUGGAACUCUGACUGCCUUGAGAGCAUCCCACCAUCCAUUGCUGCUGCAUCAAGGUAUUAAAAAGAGAGACAGAAGGAAGAGGCACUUGCUGUAGGAUUGGAACCUAGAGUGCCCUGAGGCAGGAUUCUGACCCUCAAAAUGGGACCUUUUUUGGUGAUUGAUCCUGUCCAGAUGAGACUUCUCUUGGUUUGAGAUCUUCCACUGAGAGGCCGUUUCACCAACCAGGCUCUGAAAUUUCUGCUCAGCCUGAGUCUGGAGGGAUUCAGCUCCUACUCCCCCUCCUGGAGGCUGCCCAGAUGCCCCCCAGCUCUGUGCCCCUACCCAGCCAUCAGAGUCCCUUCCAGCCUUUGUCCAGGCUGGCCUGUCCUCCAGGACACUUGGCAGCUGGGACCCCACAGGACUGUCCCUCUGCUCUGCUCCAGCCUCGAAUCCUAAUGUCCCGGCUCUUGCCGUCCAACACUGUGUCUGCCC
rnacentral:lncRNA from 1 species